rnacentral:rRNA from 1 species
GAUGAACGCUGGCGGCAUGCCUAAUACAUGCAAGUCGAGCGAACGGACGAGAAGCUUGCUUCUCUGAUGUUAGCGGCGGACGGGUGAGUAACACGUGGAUAACCUACCUAUAAGACUGGGAUAACUUCGGGAAACCGGAGCUAAUACCGGAUGAUAUUUUGAACCGCAUGGUUCAAAAGUGAAAGACGGUCUUGCUGUCACUUAUAGAUGGAUCCGCGCUGCAUUAGCUAGUUGGUAAGGUAACGGCUUACCAAGGCAACGAUGCAUAGCCGACCUGAGAGGGUGAUCGGCCACACUGGAACUGAGACACGGUCCAGACUCCUACGGGAGGCAGCAGUAGGGAAUCUUCCGCAAAGGGCGAAAGCCUGACGGAGCAACGCCGCGUGAGUGAUGAAGGUCUUCGGAUCGUAAAACUCUGUUAUUAGGGAAGAACAUAUGUGUAAGUAACUGUGCACAUCUUGACGGUACCUAAUCAGAAAGCCACGGCUAACUACGUG